rnacentral:rRNA from 1 species
GCUCCUCACGCUCCAACUCUUUUUCGGGAAGGAGACAAAGGGGCACUGUGGACAAAAAAUCCAUUCCCACCUUGUGUGUAUUGUAACAAACAACCAAUUUCACCUUUUUUGAAUUUUUUUGCAAGACCGUCUGAAUGCAUCUCAUUAGCCAUUUUGCGAAAGCAGAAAGGAAAAAAAUGAAAUACAACUUUCAACAACGGAUCUCUUGGCUCUCGCAUCGAUGAAGAACGCAGCGAAACGCGAUAUGUAAUGUGAAUUGCAGAAUUCAGUGAAUCAUCGAAUCUUUGAACGCACAUUGCGCUCUUUGGUAUUCCGAAGAGCAUGCUUGUUUGAGUAUCAGAGAACCCAUCUCGAACUUGGUUCUUUGUCUUUUCGAAGAUAAAGGACUUCGGGGAUAUGAGUAAUCUCGGUACUUUCCUUUUCAGCUUGCUGGAAAGGGAGUUUUUGUCCCGGGUUACUUGAAAGGAGGUUAUUGCUUCCAUUCCUCCCUUGGGUUCGUAUUCCUUGGCCUGAAAGCAUAUCUAUUUAGUCCCGUCAAAAGGAUUAUUGCUCUUUGCUGAAAGUGCUGAAGGAGAACCUCAAGAGAGGAGUGUACCUCUUACAGGGACUCUCACAAACUCGAUCUCAAAUCAAGUAAGACUACCCGCUGAACUUAAGCAUAUCAAUAAGCGGGAGGAAGAAGGAUCAUUCACAAUUACAAAGUGCUCUCACGCUCCAACUCUUUUUCGGGAGGAGACAAGGGGCACUGUGGACAAAAAUCCAUUCCACCUUGUGUGUAUUGUACAAACACCAUUUCACUUUUUUGAAUUUUUUGCAGACGUCUGAAAUGCUCUAUAGCCAUUUUGCGAACAAAGGAAAAAUGAAUACACUUCACACCGAUAUCUGGCUCUCUCUCAAUAAAACACCCAACCGUUGUAUGUG